UGGGAACGCGAAGAACCUUACCUAGACUUGACAUCCCCUGAAUUACCUGUAAUGAGGGAAGUCCCUUCGGGGACAGGGAGACAGGUGGUGCAUGGUUGUCGUCAGCUCGUGUCGUGAGAUGUUGGGUUAAGUCCCGCAACGAGCGCAACCCUUGUGAUUAGUUGCUACGCAAGAGCACUCUAAUCAGACUGCCGUUGACAAAACGGAGGAAGGUGGGGACGACGUCAAAUCAUCAUGCCCCUUAUGACCUGGGCUACACACGUACUACAAUGGCCGUCAACAACGGGAAGCAAAGUCGCGAGGUGGAGCAAAAACCCGAAAAACGGUCUCAGUUUGGAUCGCAGGCUGCAACCCGCCUGCGUGAAGCUGGAAUUGCUAGUAAUCGCGGAUCAUCAUGCCGCGGUGAAUACGUUCCCGGGUCUUGUACACACCG
rnacentral:rRNA from 1 species